ACCGAUUUGGUCCUAGUCCUAUUCUUAACUUUUUCUGAAAUGAUACAUGCAAGUAAAAAACAAAACAGUGAGUAAAACGCGAUAACAACCACAAAGAAUAACUUAUCGCUUAACUAUAAUAGUAUCAGAACACAAACAAAUUAAACAAAGACACUUAGUAUAAACACCACUUCAGCAGUACUAAACAUUGUACAAUAAGCAAAAGCUUGAUACAGUCACAGAAAAAACAACCGGUCAAUUAUGUGCCAGCCACCGCGGUUAUACAUAAGGUCACAGUUAAGAAUAAACGGUAUAAAGAUAACUAAAAUCAUUUUGGGGAUAAAAAUAACUCUAGCAGUAACAAGCUUAUAGAACACUAAAAACAGCACCAACCCCAAUCACAUACCAACCAGUUACCAAAGCUCAAAAAUAAACUGGGAUUAGAUACCCCACUAUAUGAGCCGUAAAACAACCACACCACCAGAGAACUACGAACUAAAGUUUAAAACUCAAAGGACUUGGCGGUAUUUUAGACCUCCCUGGAGGAGCUUGCCACCUAACCGAUAACCCACGAAAAACCUCACCAGCCUUAGAACCUAACCCAACCUGUAUACCAUCGUCGUCAGUCUACCCCUCAAGGAAAGUAUACAAAAAGAGCUCUCCUCACUACGUCAGAUCGAGGUGCAGUUAAUGAGCUGGGGGUGAGUGAGCUACAACAUCAUAACAAAUUAAACACAAUUAUGAACAGCCUAAUGAAAAAACAGACUCGAAAUCGGAUUCAGCAGUAAUGUUUAACAGAAAAUAAACAUGAAGAACCACACAGCUCUAAAAUGCGCACACAUCGCCCGUCACUCUCGUCCACAGAGGAGAAAAGUCGUAACAAAGUAGGCGUAUUGGAAAAUGCGCCUGGUACAAU
rnacentral:ncRNA from 1 species